UACGGAGGGGGUUAGCGUUGUUCGGAAUUACUGGGCGUAAAGCGCGCGUAGGCGGACCAGAAAGUUGGGGGUGAAAUCCCGGGGCUCAACCCCGGAACGGCCUCCAAAACUCCUGGUCUUGAGUUCGAGAGAGGUGAGUGGAAUUCCGAGUGUAGAGGUGAAAUUCGUAGAUAUUCGGAGGAACACCAGUGGCGAAGGCGGCUCACUGGCUCGAUACUGACGCUGAGGUGCGAAAGUGUGGGGAGCAAACGGG
rnacentral:rRNA from 1 species